AUACGUAGGGUGCAAGCGUUGUUCGGAAUUAUUGGGCGUAAAGCGCGUGUAGGCGGUCUUUUAAGUCUGAUGUGAAAGCCCCGGGCUCAACCUGGGAAGUGCAUUGGAAACUGGGGGACUUGAGUACGGGAGAGGGUAGUGGAAUUCCUAGUGUAGGAGUGAAAUCCGUAGAUAUUAGGAGGAACACCGGUGGCGAAGGCGGCUACCUGGACCGAUACUGACGCUGAGACGCGAAAGCGUGGGGAGC
rnacentral:rRNA from 1 species